rnacentral:rRNA from 1 species
GCUAGUAAUGGCAGGUCAGCAUACUGCCGUGAAUACGUUCCCGGGCCUUGUACACACCGCCCGUCACACCAUGAGAGUUGGGAAUACCCGAAGCCUGUGAGCCAACAUAUAAUGAGGCAGCAGUCGAAGGUAGAAUCAAUGAUUGGGGUGAAGUCGUAACAAGGUACC